CCUACGGGAGGCUGCAGUGAGGAAUAUUGGUCAAUGGGCGCAAGCCUGAACCAGCCAAGUCGCGUGAGGGAGGACGGUACUAUGGAUUGUAAACCUCUUUUGUCAGGGAGCAAAGCCCGCCACGUGUGGCGGGAAGGAGAGUACCCGAAGAAAAAGCAUCGGCUAACUCCGUGCCAGCGGCCGCGGUAUUAGGGGGGAUGCGGCCGUUAUCCGGUUUUUUUGGGGUAAAGGGGUGUGUAGGCGGAAGGUUAGGUCAGCGGUCAACUGUCGGUGCUCAACACCGGCCUGCCGUUGAAACUGGUCGUCUUGAGUGAGCGAGAAGUAUGCGGAAUGCGUGGUGUAGCGGUGAAAUGCAUAGAUAUCACGAAGAACUCCGAUUGCGAAGGCAGCCUACUAA
rnacentral:rRNA from 1 species